GAAGUGACCUGCCAAGGUCAUAUAGCCAUUCAGGGUGGGCCGGGAGUGGACUCUCAAUGUCCAGCCCAAAGUGCUGCUCUUCCUGAGCCACCUCCCAGGACAGGGGCACUCUUUCUGCUCCAGUCAAAGAGCUCACAGCCCAAAUCUGACAUCCUGCCUCCCACAGUGAGGCCUGAGCACCUGCCCCCAGCCCCGGGGGUCCGAACCAACAGGCGGCUCCACCCCUCCUCAAAUACCCACCAUAGCUCCCCACUGCCUACCCCGGAGCCAGGCGGGCAGCCUCUGCUCACGCCACCUCAUUCAGUCCUCAAGCCUGUUCAUGACUCCUCCCACUUCAGGUGAGGAAACCAAGCCUCAGGGGACAGACUUGAGCCCGGGGACACUUUCUGGCCACUAAAGAGAAGGGGUGGGCUUUUUAUAGGUAAAAGUUCUUAUCUGGGGAGGCAGCCACAGGCAGACCAUCACCGUCGGUCAGUCGUUUAGUCCACAAACCCCAGUGGGCACUGAGGUGGCAGGUCCCAUGUGCAACGCAGGGGACACAGGCCAGGAGGCCCCGCCCGAGUUCAAGCCAGACGGGGAGACAGACACCGGCAGAGAGGGCGCACCACAGCCAGGAGCAGUGGAGGGGCGAAGGUUUCACCUCCAGAAAGCCAGAGGCCCUGCCAGACUCACACGGUGGGGUGCACUCUCUUCCUACCCACACGGGUUGGAACAGGCUCUGCCCCGUCCUCGUCCACAGCACCACCCCAACCCUCACCAGCAGUGGGCCAAGUAAACAGAAGGCAGGUGGCUGAGGCCAAGGUCCCACCCCUGUGCCUCCUCACCUGUGCUGCGUGCACACUCACACACACACUCACACACACAGACCACCUCACCCCAGCCACCUGGGGGCCCAGGAGACAGCUGCCUCCCAGCCCCUGACCUAAUGCCCACAAGCCAUGCUCUGCCCCACCAGGGAACCCAUCACCCGCCUCUCCUUGCCUCUAAUAACACAGAGGGGAAGAGGGACACA
rnacentral:lncRNA from 1 species